rnacentral:rRNA from 1 species
UACGUAGGGUGCGAGCGUUUGUCCGGAAUUAUUGGGCGUAAAGAGCUCGUAGGCGGUGUGUCACGUCGGCCGUGAAAACCUGCAGCUUAACUGUGGGCGUGCGGUCGAUACGGGCAUCACUGGAGUUCGGCAGGGGAGACUGGAAUUCCUGGUGUAGCGGUGAAAUGCGCAGAUAUCAGGAGGAACACCGGUGGCGAAGGCGGGGUCUCUGGGCCGAUACUGACGCUGGAGGAGCGAAAGCCGUGGGGAGCAAACAGG